ACAUGCCUACAACAUAUCAUUAAUGCACCGGAUCCCAUUAUAACUUUGUAGUUAAGCGUGCUCAUGCUAGAGUAGUACUUAGAUGGGUGAUCACCUGGGAAUUUCUAGUGUCUUACAUGCC
rnacentral:rRNA from 1 species